rnacentral:rRNA from 1 species
UACGUAGGGGGCAAGCGUUGUCCGGAAUCAUUGGGCGUAAAGAGCGUGUAGGCGGCCAUACAGGUCCGUUGUGAAAACUCGAGGCUUAACCUCGAGACGUCGAUGGAAACCGUAUGGCUAGAGUCCGGAAGAGGAGAGUGGAAUUCCUGGUGUAGCGGUGAAAUGCGCAGAUAUCGUAAGGAAGACCAGUGGCGAAGGCGGGUCUCUGGACAGUUCCUGACACUGAGACACGAAGGCCAGGGGAGCAAACGGG